CAGUCGCCGCGGUAAUACGAAGGGUGCAAGCGUUAAUCGGAAUUACUGGGCGUAAAGCGUGCGUAGGCGGUGAGUUAAGUCUGUUGUGAAAUCCCCGGGCUCAACCUGGGAAUGGCAAUGGAUACUGGCAAGCUAGAGUGUGUCAGAGGAUGGUGGAAUUCCCGGUGUAGCGGUGAAAUGCGUAGAGAUCGGGAGGAACAUCAGUGGCGAAGGCGGCCAUCUGGGACAACACUGACGCUGAGGCACGAAAGCGUGGGGAGCAAACAGGAUUAGAUACCCCCGUAGUCCCUGUCUCUUAUAC
rnacentral:rRNA from 1 species